GCCUGGGUGGCUCAGUCAGUUGAGCACCUGACUUUGGCUCAGGUCAUGAUCUCACCGCUCAUGAGUUCGAGCCCCGUGUCAGGCU
rnacentral:tRNA from 1 species